UUUGAUUCCAGUUAACUCAGGUUUUCCAUUCCUUAUAUAAAUGAUGAAAUAUAAAUUGACUUAAUCAUAUAGAAAUAAAAUGCUGCAUAGAAUUGAAAACACACGUACAAGAAAGAUGCAUACCUUGCUAUCACUGACCUAUCUCUGUGCAGUGUUUAUGUGAAGACUGUGUGCAGUUUGCACGGUGAUGUGAAAAUCACAUUCCACCCCUGAGACCAGCCAACAGAAGUCUCCUCCAGUUGGCAGUCUCAGUCACCUGAAAUUCUAAAGCAGUGUGGAACUGUUCAUCAUGAUUGGAGAUUUACUGGUCCAUUUAAAAAAAAUAAAUAUCUAAUAUACAGCCUAAGAGUUCAUUGGUUCAGACAAUUUAAAAAAUGGUGAAUAAAGAACAACAGGAAAUUGUGCAGAAUCUUCCCAAAGAUUUGCUUCUACUUUGGCCAAAAAAAUUAAUUGGCAAGAUAAUCUAUUAGUUCCUUCUGUUGAUACCGACAUUUCUUGAGUAGUAUCUGAGUUAUAUAGUAGUAGCAUCAGGUAACUUCCUUGAUUCUUGGACUGAAAACUGAUUUUUAUUGGAAUGAAAUAUCAGUAUGUUUAGCUAAAUAACAUCUGACUUAGGUUGCUAAAUUUCACUAUGACAAUCCAGCUUUAUGGUCUACUGAAUUUAAUAUAGCAGUUUGGAAUCACUUAUCAUAAGACAUAUAUGAAAAAAAUCAAUAAUUAUUUAUCUUCAAGAUGCAAUAGUAUUCAUCUUUCUAACUCAAUAUACUAUGAAAACAUUGCUUAUGGAGAAUCUCUUUAAAAUAUAUUUGCUUUUAUUUUUAGAAAAUUUAAGUUCAUUAAAAUAUGUUAGUUACUGUCCAUGUCAAAAGAACAGGUAAUUUGGGAUUAUAAUAAACUAAAAACACUAUUAGCAAGAAGUGGACAUGUUAGAAAAUAGAAAAUGUUUUACUGAUAUGAAAACCAAAACAUAACUUUAAGGCAUAUUUCAAAGGAGUCUGUACCUCAUAUAUUAUAUUAAUUACUACCAAUGUUAUUCUUAAUGAAUAAUUAUAUCUGGUUGAGUAUAACAAAUGAUUCCAACUAUUACAUAAUUUUUAAUGUGUAUGCCAAAUCUGUUGUAAGUGAAGAAAUAAGUAUAUGAAGUUUGAAUAGAAAACUAUUUUUCUCUGUCUCAGCAAAGAUUGAAAAAAAUUUAAAUGUAUCGUUUUGCAGGGAUGCAUGUCUGACUUGGGGUCUUUCCUCACAUCCUCAGUGCACUAUUUAUUUGCUCAUCAUCCCACCAAGAUGUCUAACUUUUAGGGUGCUUAAUUUGUAAUUUUAAUAGAUCUACUGUUUUUCUAAUUUUUGUGGUAGUCAACUUUCUUCUGAAUCUUCUUAUGAAUCUUUGUUCAUAUUAUUUUUUACAGCUGAUCUUCAAUUCUGAUCAAUGAUGAUUUUAAAGGUAUUUAACGUGAAGUGAUUGAAUAUAAUGUCCGUGGGCUUUUACUUCUAUGGUGAAGUUUUAUACUGUUGCACAGGGACUGUCAUAUGUUUUGCAAAAUCAGAAUUGUUUUUCAGACUGGAUUCCAGGGAGAAAAUUACUUUUCUGCCAAUUCUGUUUUAUAAUGCUUCUCUCAUUUCUAGGGUGUGAAGAGGAUACUGACCCACCAGAAAGAGACCCCACUGCUAGAACGAAUAAGAUGUGCUGAAAGCCGGAGCAUAACUUGGCCAUUCCCAAGAUUUAACAACAAACUAACUACCCAUCAUUAACAGUAAAGGUAUUGAAGCAUGAAGGAGUCUCUUCUCAGUGGGUAUGAAACACACAGAAGUCCAAACAGAACAGACACUAAGCUUCUUGGACACACCAUCCAGGUUUAAUAGCACUCUUUAGUAAGGUGGAAUUAAAGGUUUACAUCAGAAUACACUGUGUAUUUUUCUUAUUUCACUGUAUAUUUAAAACAAGACAACCUAAAUAUAGAUCUCAGGGCAGAAAUGUUCACUUGCUAUAAACACAUUUUGUUUUAAUCUCCACAAAGCCCAUGUUAAAAAAAAAAUCCUUCCAGGUGUAUUUGAAAACAGGCAUCUGAAGUAGGCGGCUCUUAUCUGAUCGCUAAUGUUAUGAUUAUGCUGCUAGAGUAGUGAAAAUCAGAUAAACAGCACCAAGUUCUGUUGGAAUAAAGCAUACUUAUAUCUCAGUGAGCUUCACAUGGCAGCUUUGUAUUCCUUAAAUAAAAAAUAUGCCAUCUGAACCUAUGUUAAAUUUUUGUGCUAUCAUUAUUUUUAAAGUGUCCAGGCUGUUUCUCAUCUGUUCUGUAUUAUUAAGCUGAGUUUAAACUCAUGACAACCUACUGCUGUCUGUAGUGGUACAUGGAAGUGUGCCAGUGUAUGAUGGGGUAAAAUUGGCACAGCCUUGUGAGGCAUCAUUUUUAAUCAAAAUAUUAGUAACAAAACAUUUUAAAAUUAAAACUAUUAAAGGCUUAUAGGUGACUUGAUUUUGAAAUUCAUAUGAAUUUUAUAACAAAACAAGAGACUUUUAAAAAACUGUGUUUGUGGUUGCCUGUUUUGGAUGUCAGCACUAGACCUCUCAGUAUGACAUCACCCCCUGCCUUUAGAAGUAGCUGGGAGGAAUGUUUUAGGAGCACUGUAUGCCUAAUUUCCUAAUUUCCUUCUUUUCCACACAUCACAAUGGGAGAAGAAUAAAAGGACUAGUCUUAAACAAAACAACCCACCUUGUUGGCAAAACAGUUUUCAAUCUCAAGCUUGUCAGUGUCUGCAACAAUUUCUCCAUUAGGUAAAACAGUGUAAACAAGCAGAUGAGCACUAGGAGCAGAGUCUGAUUCCACUCGAAAGGAGAAGGAAAACACCCCUUUCACUGGAGAAUUUAAAAAGAAGAACAAGUUCAGAAUAACACAUUAGCAACAGAAUUAUCAAUUUGAUUUUUUAAAAAGGCAUUUCCAACUAUAGACUUUAUUUACAUUUGGAUCACACUGAAGUAAGAAAAGACUUUAUACCACUGUGCAGGUAGUAGUGUUCAAUAAAUAUAUGCUGAGCUAAUGACAUUUUCCCUUAAAGAUAUAGGUUUAAUUGUUCAUUUCCUCUGUUUAAGUAGGAAAAAGACAUUUAAUGCUUGUCUCUAUUUCUAAAUUGAAAAAUAUUAUUGAGAAAGGAGUCAAGAGAGAAGAAAGAGAACUUCUAGACAUGUUUGGUUAUAAUUCUUGUGUGUGUAAGGGCAAUAUAAACAAUGCAACAGUCUUUUCCUUCAGGCCAUUUAUAAUACAGCAGGGAUACAGAUACAAAUCACAUAAAAAGCCUUGUGAGCCUUUGAUUUUUAUAAUAGAAUUCUGUGUGUUCAUCUCAGUGGUUGUCCUCUGUGUGAACUACAUAGAGCUUAUGUAACAUUCCACUUGAUUAUUUUCAUAAAUGUUCUAAGUUUGAUCUUUGUAGCAUAAAAUUAUUCUUUAAAAAUUGUACCCUUCCUGUAUCUAUAAAAGAUUUGAGGGCAGCUUUCAUGAAAAUACAGAGAAACAGCAGAGUCAAAAUAAUUUGAAACAGUAAGACGAAAGCCAAAUGAAUGUGGAAUUCUGAAGCAGGGUUAAACAUAGGAGUUAAUUUUAUUAGGAAGCUGCAAUGAAAUGGUUAUUACACUAGAGUACUUAAGUUUUUCACUGAGUUUCCGAAAUGUCAAAGACAAAGUCAAAACAAUCAUUUACAUAGCUGUCAUUAAAUAAAAUGAAGUAUAUUUUUUCUUAAAGAGAGGGACACUUCUUCUUCCCAUCCCACCACCUUAGGACCCAAUCCAUACAGGAUUUAAACUCUACUGCAGAAACAAACUUUGAAGAUACUGCUUUGUGAGGCAGUGACUUUUUCAUAUGUUAUUAGAGACAACCUUACCUGCUCUAAAAAAAUCAAUACAAUGUCCAAUAACAUAAAAUCAGGGAUUAAAUGGAAAUUUAGAGUCGAUGUUUCAUAUUUGAAUGAACGUAUUCAAAUUUUGUGCUUUAUUUCAAGCAGAAAGAAAACAAUCAGUAAGAGAUUAUAUAGACCUAAGAGAUGUUACAGACCGAAGAAGAACCUAUGGUGAGUGGCGUUUUAGAGUGUGGGUACUGCAUCCUUAUCAUGACCUUAGAAGCCUCUUUCUGGCUCAAAAAGACUGGGAGAAAGUCUAUGAAAAAAAGGUUUUCAUCUAGAAGUAGAGUUACAGGAAAUUUAUUAAGAGGCUAAUCUGGAACUCAAAAAAUUACAAACAAACAUUAAUAUUUUGAAAUCAAACUUAAAUUCGUGAUUAAUUAAAAAGGUAUCUUAGGCCGGGCACGGUGGCUCACGCCUGUAAUCCCAGCACUUUGGGAGGCCGAGGCGGGCGGAUCACGAAGUCAGGAGAUGGAGACCAUCCUGGCUGACACGGUGAAACCCCAUCUCUACUAACAAUACAAAAAAUUAGCUGGGCGUGGUGGCGGGUGCCUGUGGUCCCAGGGACUUGGGAGGCAGAGGGAGGAGAAUGGCGUGGACCCGGGAGGCGGAGCUUGCAGUGAGCCGAGAUCGCGCCACUGCACUCCAGCCUGGGUGACAGAGCAAGACUCCGUCUCAAAAUACAUAAAUAAAUAAAUAAAUAAAUAAAUAAAUAAAUAAAUAAAGAUAUUUAUGAUUCAAAGAAAUAAAGAAGAAAAGUGUGAUCUAAGAUAGAGAAACUCUAUUAACCCAGUUGACCUCAAUGACGUUCAGAGAACACUCCACUUAAUAGCACCAGUCAUGAGCUUUGUAAAAUAAUUAGAAUUGAAUAUUUUUCCAGAAGAUUGUUUAUAAGUUUUAUUUCCUUUUGAAUGAGUUCAUGGUUCUUAGCUUUUGCUUCUUUAUCUACUGAGUUCUAAGAAAACAUUUUCUCUUUGACUAAAAACAUUUUAUCCUAGGCUCUUUCCUCUCCUGCUCAAUAAGUUGCCAUUGGAACUCUGCAAGGAAAAAUUCUAAAAGUUUCAGUGGUGAAUAGAGCAUAAAUGAGAAAUUAAAGCAUUAAUAUUUGUUAGGAAGUAACUUCUCUUCUAGCACAAAAACAAUACAAAAUAUAUUAUUGUUAUCUUAUAAAUGGCAUUACUUAGACAGGAACCCAGCAAUUUUGGAGUCUACACAAUCAGAAGGAGCUACAGUGGGUCUUAUUCUUACCAAAUAGUAGAAGGUUAAUUCUUUUUCAUCCCUGAGAAUCUGUUUAUUCAGAAUGUAGUGUGCUUGAAUCUCCUGGGUUUGUCCACAGGUCAAAGUACCAAUAAUAGGUUUGAGGUGAAUAUAACUCUUGCUUGGGGAAAAAAAAUGCUUUGCAGUAUGAGAUGUUUGCGUAUGAAAUUCAUCAAGCCACCAGUUAUCAGAACAAUUGUUACUCUCUUUGUAUUUGACCUAAUGGAAGAAUAAAUAAGCUGUUUUAUAUAUAAUAUAUAUAUGAUUGCAAAAAUAUAUAAAAAUAUGCAUAUUAUAUAUGUUUGUAUAUAUAUACAUAAAGCAAUAUAAUAAAGCCAUAUAAGAAGGCUGCUUUCUUAAAUAUAGCAGAAUCUGUAAACUGAUUCCCCUCGAGAUCAUUUAAGCUUAUGCUGUACUGAUUUAGUAGAUGUUAUUCAUUCACAAACAAGGUCAAUUACUUUCUCUUAACACGCUAUGGCUGCAAAUUGCAUAAGAACAUUUGAAUAUUCAACACAAUCUCUACUAAAAGUACAAAAUUAGCCGGGCGUGGUGGCGCAUGCCUGUAAUCCCAGCUACUCAGGAGGCUGAGGCAGGAGAAUCACUUGAACCUGGGAGGUGGAGGUUGCAGUGAGCCGACAUCGAGUUAUUACACUCUAGCCUGGGCAAGGAGCGAAACUCCAUCUCAAAAAAAAAAAAUUAUUUUUAACACAUCUCAUCAUAACAGUUCUUUUUCAUUGACUCAUUACUACCCUGAUCACAGCAUUUAAAACUGCAAAGUCUAACCCCAAUCUUAUGAUACAGCCUGGAUAUUGAGGAGGACUCCUUCUCCAGGCCAAGGGGAGCAGCAAGUGCAAGGCCCGAGCUGAGUAGAUGAGGCUGGGAGCCAGACCAGUCUUAGGCUGACCAGUGCUCUGUCUUGAAUGGAAGAGUCAGGCCUCCAGAUAGCGUUUACUUCUCCUUUCUUCCUUGAAUCACUGUCUCAGAGAUAAUUAGGUUCAGAAGAGGAGGAAAAAAAAGAUGACGUCAACAUGGAGCAGAGUUUUUCUUAGACCUUAGCCUAGCAAGGAAAGAGAAAUGCCUGGUCUCAGUGCUGGGAAGCUGUUUCAGCCAGAGCCCCGUGGCUGUGAAGAGAGCUCUCCUGUCUGGAGCCAAACAGAAAGCUCA
rnacentral:lncRNA from 1 species